ACCAUGCUGGCAACAGCGAUAAGGGGACCUUGAGUGCCAGGAUACAAUCCUGGCUGUCGUGAUGCCUAAAAAGCAUUAUAUAGCAAGGGCCGGGCAAGACCGGUGCCAGCCGCCGCGGUAACACCGGCGGCUCGAGUGGUAACCGCUAUUAUUGGGUCUAAAGGGUCUGUAGCCGGCUUGGUUAGUCUCUUGGGAAAUCCGGCAGCUUAACUGUCGGGCUUUCAGGAGAUACUGCCAGGCUCGAGACCGGGAGAGGUGAGAGGUACCUCAUGGGUAGGGGUGAAAUCUUGUAAUCCUUGAAGGACCACCAGUGGCGAAGGCGUCUCACCAGAACGGAUCUGACGGCAAGGGACGAAAGCUAGGGGCACGAACCGGAUUAGAUACCCGGGUAGUCCUAGCCGUAAACGAUACUCGCUAGGUGUCGGCCACGGUGCGACCGUGGUCGGUGCCGUAGGGAAGCCGUGAAGCGAGCCACCUGGGAAGUACGGCCGCAAGGCUGAAACUUAAAGGAAUUGGCGGGGGAGCAC
rnacentral:rRNA from 1 species